rfam:Echinostoma caproni strain Egypt genome assembly, scaffold: ECPE_scaffold0000977
GUCGGUUACGGAGAUAUGCGACCGGUCACUGUGUGGGGUAAACUGGUCGGAUCGUUGUGUGCGAUCGCCGGAGUACUGACAAUCGCUUUACCUGUCCCUGUGAUAGUAUCUAAC